AUAGUUGGCAGCUCACCCUCCUCAUCACAGCAUGUGUUACCUUCCUCUCUGAGGCCAACUUAAUUCAAAUGAGGGCAGUGGCGGGACACUCCUGUGAGGACCAGCAUUUUCAGCUUGGCUGCACCAUCGCAGAAGAAGUAUCAACAGAGAAGAGGAGGAGAAGAAGAGGAUAUGAAGGUGAAUUCCAGCAAAGCAUUAGGAUGAAUAUUAGUUGUUCCAUUGAGAUGUCUUAAUGCAGUCCUCAGAGCGAGAUCUGAGGUUGCAAAGAGCAGAUGUCCGUCUGCACUGUGAGCUGCCAAGAGGGUCCGGAGCGGAGCAGCCACAGACACAAGGGCCCAAAUGGUGUGACAAAAGAUGUGCAGGAAGCCCCUCUCCGCC